rnacentral:snRNA from 1 species
AUUGCUUCUCAGACUUUUGAAUAAGAUCAUGUGUAUUAUCUGUUCCUAUCAGUUUAAUAUCUGAUGCGUCUUUUAUCCAAGGAUGAUACAUUAGUGGGUUUUUCUCCACAUAUUGACGUGGUAAAUGCAGUACCUCCAGUAAUGGAGCAACA